rnacentral:rRNA from 1 species
GUAAUACUUAGGAAUCUACCUAGUAGUGGGGGAUAGCUCGGGGAAACUCGAAUUAAUACCGCAUACGACCUACGGGAGAAAGGGGGCAACUUGUUGCUCUCGCUAUUAGAUGAGCCUAAGUCGGAUUAGCUAGAUGGUGGGGUAAAGGCCUACCAUGGCGACGAUCUGUAGCUGGUCUGAGAGGAUGAUCAGCCACGCCGGGACUGAGACACGGCCCGGACUCCUACGGGAGGCAGCAGUGGGGAAUAUUGGACAAUGGGGGAAACCCUGAUCCAGCCAUGCCGCGUGUGUGAAGAAGGCCUUUUGGUUGUAAAGCACUUUAAGCAGUGAAGAAGACUCUUCGGUUAAUACCCGGAGACGAUGACAUUAGCUGCAGAAUAAGCACCGGCUAACUCUGUGCCAGCAGCCGCGGUAAUACAGAGGGUGCAAGCGUUAAUCGGAAUUACUGGGCGUAAAGCGAGCGUAGGUGGCUUGAUAAGUCAGAUGUGAAAUCCCCGGGCUUAACCUGGGAACUGCAUCUGAUACUGUCAGGCUAGAGUAGGUGAGAGGAAGGUAGAAUUCCAGGUGUAGCGGUGAAAUGCGUAGAGAUCUGGAGGAAUACCGAUGGCGAAGGCAGCCUUCUGGCAUCAUACUGACACUGAGGCU